AGAGUUGAUCCUGGCUCAGGAUGAACGCUGGCGGCGUGCUUAACACAUGCAAGUCGAACGAAGCAUUAAGUAGAAGCUUCGGGUGGAAAUUAAAUGACUGAGUGGCGGACGGGUGAGUAACGCGUGGAUAACCUGCCUUGUGCAGGGGGAUAACAGUUAGAAAUGGCUGCUAAUACCGCAUAAGCCUACGCUAUCGCAUGAUAAAGUAGGAAAAGAUUUAUCGGUACAAGAUGGAUCCGCGUCUGAUUAGCUAGUUGGUGAGGUAACGGCUUACCAAGGCGAUGAUCAGUAGCCGACCUGAGAGGGUGACCGGCCACAUUGGGACUGAGACACGGCCCAAACUCCUACGGGAGGCAGCAGUGGGGAAUAUUGCACAAUGGGCGAAAGCCUGAUGCCAGCGACGCCGCGUGAGUGAAGAAGUAUUUCGGUAUGUAAAGCUCUAUCAGCAGGGAAGAUAAUGACGGUACCUGACUAAGAAGCCCCGGCUAACUACGUGCCAGCCGCGGC
rnacentral:rRNA from 1 species